AUACGGAGGGUGCGAGCGUUAAUGGGAAUUACUGGGCGUAAAGCGUACGUAGGCGGUUUGCUAAGUCAGAUGUGAAAGCCCCGGGCUUAACCUGGGAACUGCAUUUGAUACUGGCAGACUAGAGUAUGAUAGAGGGGGGUAGAAUUCCUGGUGUAGCGGUGAAAUGCGUAGAUAUCAGGAGGAAUACCAGUGGCGAAGGCGGCCCCCUGGAUCAAUACUGACGCUGAGGUACGAAAGCGUGGGGAGCGAACAGGAUUAGAAACCCCUGUAGUCC
rnacentral:rRNA from 1 species